rnacentral:lncRNA from 1 species
AGAGAUUCAACCGUUGGACCCCGAGGGCAUAUUCGGCAUUUCAAAUAUAAAGAGCUCCUCUUAAAAUAAUAUUUUAUUUUGUCACCCUCCCGCAUCCUCCAGAUCCCUUGCAACAUUCCCUAGGCUAAGGCGAAAGUAAAACCAUCGCAAAGCAAAAGUCCGGCUCUCUCUCUCUGUGCUUCUUUUUCUAUUUUUUUUUUUAGUAAGAUUUAUCUUUUUCCAUCACUUAAUCUUCUGGUAUAGUUCUCUGGCCCCCUGGUUUGGUUUGAUUUCUUGCUCUUUUUAGGAGGUCAGAGAGCGAGCCGAGGGAGUUGCCGUUGAGGGAUCUGGAGAAAUGCAAGUUCCGGUUGGGGGGGAUUAGGGCUCGAGAGCGGCGGCGGGGGAAUGCGGCGCUUGUGCGCGGAGGGCGACGCCAGCGCCACCACCAGAGGAGGAGGAGGAGGAGGCGGGGAGGAGGAGGAGGACGAGGGAGGCGAGAAGCCGUCGCCGGCGGCGCCGCUGGUAGCGGUGACGUCCGUGGCCGUAGUGCAUCACCACCACCACCAGCCGAGGAGCAGAUCGCAGGGUGGGGG